rnacentral:hammerhead_ribozyme from 1 species
AUCCAGUUGACGAGUCCAGAAUAGGACGAAACGCUCGUUAAACUGGAU